rnacentral:rRNA from 1 species
AUUGAACGCUGGCGGCAUGUUUUACACAUGCAAGUCGAACGGCAGCGCGGGCUUCGGCCUGGCGGCGAGUGGCGAACGGGUGAGUAAUGCAUCGGAACGUGCCCAGUAGUGGGGGAUAGCCCGGCGAAAGCCGGAUUAAUACCGCAUACGACCUGAGGGUGAAAGCGGGGGACCGAAAGGCCUCGCGCUAUUGGAGCGGCCGAUGUCGGAUUAGCUAGUUGGUGGGGUAAAGGCUUACCAAGGCGACGAUCCGUAGCUGGUCUGAGAGGACGACCGGCCACACUGGGACUGAGACACGGCCCAGACUCCUACGGGAGGCAGCAGUGGGGAAUUUUGGACAAUGGGGGCAACCCUGAUCCAGCCAUGCCGCGUGCGGGAAGAAGGCCUUCGGGUUGUAAACCGCUUUUGUUCGGGAAGAAAUCCUCUGGGCUAAUACCCCGGGGGGAUGACGGUACCGGAAGAAUAAGCACCGGCUAACUACGUG